rnacentral:rRNA from 1 species
GGUGAACGCUGGCGGUAGGCCUAACACAUGCAAGUCGAACGGCAGCACAGUAAGGGCUUGCUCUUACGGGUGGCGAGUGGCGGACGGGUGAGGAAUACAUCGGAAUCUACUUUUUCGUGGGGGAUAACGUAGGGAAACUUACGCUAAUACCGCGUACGACCUACGGGUGAAAGCAGGGGAUCUUCGGACCUUGCGCGAUUGAAUGAGCCGAUGUCGGAUUAGCUAGUUGGCGGGGUAAAGGCCCACCAAGGCGACGAUCCGUAGCUGGUCUGAGAGGAUGAUCAGCCACACUGGAACUGAGACACGGUCCAGACUCCUACGGGAGGCAGCAGUGGGGAAUAUUGGACAAUGGGCGCAAGCCUGAUCCAGCCAUACCGCGUGGGUGAAGAAGGCCUUCGGGUUGUAAAGCCCUUUUGUUGGGAAAGAAAAGCAGCAGGUUAAUACCCCGCUGUUCUGACGGUACCCAAAGAAUAAGCACCGGCUAACUUCGUG